CCUACGGGAGGCUGCAGUGAGGAAUAUUGGUCAAUGGGCGAGAGCCUGAACCAGCCAAGUCGCGUGAGGGAGUACUGCCCUAUGGGUUGUAAACCUCUUUUGUCGGGGAGCAAAAGCCGGACGUGUCCGGCUGUGAGAGUACCCUAAGAAAAAGCAUCGGCUAACGCCGUGACAGCACCCGCGGUAAUACGGAGGAUGCGAGCGUUAUCCGGAUGUAUUGGGUGUAAGGGGUGCGCAGGCGGAUUGUUAAGUCAGCGGUCAAAUCGUGGGGCUCAACCCCAUCCCGCCGUUGAAACUGGGGAUCUAGAGUGUGAGAGAGGUAUGCGGAAUGCGUGGUGUAGCGGUGAAAUGCAUAGAUAUCACGCAGAACCCCGAUUGCGAAGGCAGCAUACCGGUGCACAACUGACGCUCAGGCACGAAAGCGUGGGUAUCGAACAAGAUUAGAUACCCGUGUAGUC
rnacentral:rRNA from 1 species